UACAGAGGGUGCGAGCGUUAAUCGGAAUUACUGGGCGUAAAGCGCGCGUAGGUGGUUAUAUAAGUUGGAGGUGAAAUCCCUGGGCUCAACCUAGGAACUGCCUCCAAAACUGUGUAGCUAGAGUAUGGUAGAGGGUGGUGGAAUUUCCUGUGUAGCGGUGAAAUGCGUAGAUAUAGGAAGGAACAUCGGUGGCGAAGGCGACCGCCUGGACUGAUACUGACGCUGAGGUGCGAAAGCGUGGGGAGCAAACAGG
rnacentral:rRNA from 1 species